UUCAGUUACAGACGAGUUUCAGAGCAGUGCGGUUCGAAUCAAUCGUGAUCGUUACAGAGGUUUGCCCAUUCGUGCGGUAGUGAUACAUACCAAAUUUGCUAGCUCAUAAACAUUUCAACGGCAAAUGAUCCUACAGAAGUGAACUUAGACGACUUGUAUAUAUGAAUGUCUGCGUGGAUUUAGUGAAAACACAAUAAGUCAUAUGCGUGAAUGGAAAACUAACUAAAGCAAUUAUUUGAAUAGCGCAUUAAAUAUAUAAGUAAUUUCAUUAAGGAAAAGUUGGCGAGCAAACAUAAAAGAAAUUGUGAAAUUGUGAAAGUUCAUUGAAAUUGAGACCGGAAAUACAAAUCAUACAUACAUAUACUCGUAUGUACAUAAAUAAGUGCAUACAUAAGUGGCAAAAAUCGUUUGAACAAGCAGCGAAACAAACCAAUAAAAGAUAAUCAACCAAAAAACACGCACAUUUUCAUAAAAAAGUUGAAAACUGCGCGAUUCGUAAUUCAUAGUAGUGCUACAGUAAAGGAUUAACAAAAACAAAAUCUAGCGUGCAAAAUCUGUGAACCGGAACAUA